rnacentral:misc_RNA from 1 species
GAUGAAGAACGUAGCGAAAUGCGAUAAGUAAUGUGAAUUGCAGAAUUCAGUGAAUCAUCGAAUCUUUGAACGCACAUUGCGCCCGCCAGUAUUCUGGCGGGCAUGCCUGUCUGAGCGUCAUUUCAACCCUCAUGCCCCUAGGGCGUGGUGUUGGGGAUCGGCCAAAGCCCGCGAGGGACGGCCGGCCCCUAAAUCUAGUGGCGGACCCGUCGUGGCCUCCUCUGCGAAGUAGUGAUAUUCCGCAUCGGAGAGCGAUGAGCCCCUGCCGUUAAACCCCCAACUUUCCAAGGUUGACCUCAGAUCAGGUAGGAAUACCCGCUGAACUUAAGCAUAUCAAUAAGCGAGGA